UACGUAGGAGGCAAGCGUUGUCCGGAAUUACUGGGCGUAAAGCGAGUGUAGGCGGUUCGAUAAGUCGGAUGUGAAAGCCCCGGGCUCAACCCGGGAAGUGCACUCGAUACUGUCGAGCUAGAGUAUCGGAGAGGUUGGUGGAAUUCUCGGUGUAGAGGUGAAAUUCGUAGAUAUCGAGAGGAACACCGGUGGCGAAGGCGGCCAACUGGACGAAUACUGACGCUGAGACUCGAAAGCGUGGGGGAGCAAACAGG
rnacentral:rRNA from 1 species